AUCAUAUUUAGGGGGUGCUUCGGCUGAGAUUAUACCCUUAGAACCUGGGCAGGUAAUGCUGCUAAGGGAAGUGUUUGCCGUCCGAU
rnacentral:ncRNA from 28 species